GUUCUUGUAGUUGAAUAACANCGGUGGUUUUU
rnacentral:tRNA from 1 species